UGUCCCAUGUUCAGCUCAUUCUCUCAAAAUUAAAAAGAAAUAGAAAGAAAGAAAGAAAAAGAUGGAGAAGAUGAGAGAAAGGGGAAAAUGGAGCAUUCAACUUCAAAUCGAGCUACGGAGCUCGUUUCUCGACCAAAUUUGAUGAUUUCGGUGGCUAUGGAUUCGGGAUUCAAGCCUUUACUCAAGAUUCGACGAGGCGACUAUCGACGGAGUUCAAAGUUCUUGAAUCGAGAUUAACGCUUUGCUUGAUUAGAGUAAAUGGAUAGCAAGUGGGAUGGUAUGAUAUGAUUUGAAGAGUUAAGCUUCCGAAGUUUUAAUUCUCGGAAGUCAUUUGUAUAAGAAGAAAAAGAAGG